CCUUUUGUAUAAUGGGUCAGCGACUUAUAUUCUGUAGCAAGGUUAACCGAAUAGGGGAGCCGAAGGGAAACCGAGUCUUAACUGGGCGUUAAGUUGCAGGGUAUAGACCCGAAACCCGGUGAUCUAGCCAUGGGCAGGUUGAAGGUUGGGUAACACUAACUGGAGGACCGAACCGACUAAUGUUGAAAAAUUAGCGGAUGACUUGUGGCUGGGGGUGAAAGGCCAAUCAAACCGGGAGAUAGCUGGUUCUCCCCGAAAGCUAUUUAGGUAGCGCCUCGUGAAUUCAUCUCCGGGGGUAGAGCACUGUUUCGGCAAGGGGGUCAUCCCGACUUACCAACCCGAUGCAAACUGCGAAUACCGGAGAAUGUUAUCACGGGAGACACACGGCGGGUGCUAACGUCCGUCGUGAAGAGGGAAACAACCCAGACCGCCAGCUAAGGUCCCAAAGUCAUGGUUAAGUGGGAAACGAUGUGGGAAGGCCCAGACAGCCAGGAUGUUGGCUUAGAAGCAGCCAUCAUUUAAAGAAAGCGUAAUAGCUCACUGGUCGAGUCGGCCUGCGCGGAAGAUGUAACGGGGCUAAACCAUGCACCGAAGCUGCGGCAGCGACACUAUGUGUUGUU
rnacentral:rRNA from 1 species